rnacentral:lncRNA from 1 species
UACAUGGUGAGUUCGUGGCCAGCCUGAACUGCACAGUGAGACCCUGUCUUAAAAACACACACACACACACACACACACACACACACACAACACAAACCAAAUUAGGAGUUAGAGUUAGGGGAAAAAAAAGAGCAAACAUCCACUCAAAGCAAUAAUUUCAGUUUUGCUUGUAAGCAUGCACAUAUAUAAUCUGUUAAGCAUCUGUAUAAUAGUGGUUGAUCCUCAAUAAAUUUCAUGCCACUAUAAAACAUAUCUUCAAUUGUGUGAAAUUAUAAUCAUACCAUACAAAAUUGAACACAGUAUGCUAAUUUUGCCUCUGGUACAUUCUAGGCAAAAAAACAGGAAAGAAAUAUUUUAUGUUCAUUUACACUAAUAAAAAUUUCUACUACCUCUUUAAAUAUAUGUUUCUCUUUUGGAAAAAUUUCCUGGACAAUAUACAAUAAUAUAGGGCUGAGAUUUUAAAAUGCUAUAAAUCUUUCCAUUUUAUUUGAGCUAACUAGUCAAAUGUACCUCAACUGUAAUAUUUAGAAGUCCAAAGUAAUUUAAAAGGCUUAUUCAUAUCUUUUCUGGUUUUAAAUUGUCCUUUGAUACAUAGCAGGAUCAACACAGAUCUAGAUAAGACUACUUUUGGAGACUUUUUAAUAUUAAAACACCAUUCUUGCAAAAAGCAAUUUGUAUCUUCAGCCCACUUAAGAUUAUAUAAUAAAUUUAGUGCAGAGGUAAAAUCAAGUUUCUAAGUUAUUGGUGAAAGGGAUACACAUGGUAAAAUUUUUAAAGAGCCAUGCAUAUGAUUAAUGAGCUAGAAAAGUUGAUUUAUGAGGAAAGAUUAAAAGAAUUAACUAGGCGUGGAAUAGCUAAGCAAAAAAGGAAGAAAAUAUAUAAAUUAAAAAUAUUUUUCUUGCUAUAGAUAAAACACUCCAUUAGAAUAUUUAAAUUUGGACAAGAAGGAAAAACUAUGCAAGAAUCUACAGUCUCUGAGUACACCUGUUUGAUUCCUUGGACUUUAAAGUACCACUCAUGCCGGCAGUUGCAGAUCUUGGCCAGGUCCCCGGUUAAGCCAAAAGUACUGUGCAUAGAAGUGGCUUACGAUUGCAACAUAAAUGCAUGGGAAUAAAAAUUUAGAAAGGAAGGGAUGAGAAAGGUCAAAUGAUGCAGCCCAGGGAAAGGGCUUCUGCAGUUGAACAUUCACCAAAAGGUGAGAAAACAUGAUUGCUGAGAUGGAAAAAGGAAACUAUUUUAUAUGUGGCUCAAAAAACUAAAUCAAGUUUGUAUGUGUGUUCACCUAACAUUAAUUUAGGAGAAGACUAGAGGAUUUCUCAAGCCUAAGAGUUAAGGAUUGGGAACAGCAAU